rnacentral:tRNA from 1 species
UGUGGCUCAAAGGAGUAGGGCGCUGGCCCCAUAUGCCAGAGGUGGCGGGUUCAAACCCUGCCA